CUGCUUUGCUUUAUCUUGGCCAGGUCACAGUUAUAAAUGAGAACUUGUUCUCAAAUGGCCUACCUGGUUAAAUAAAGGUGUUCUCAACUAGCCUACCUGGUUAAAUAAAGGUGUUCUUAACUAGCCUACUUGGUUAAAUAAAGGUGUUCUCAACUGGCCUACCUGGUUAAAUAAAGGUGUUCUCAACUAGCCUACCUGGUUAAAUAAAGGUGUUCUCAACUAGCCUACCUGGUUAAAUAAAGGUGUUCUCAACUGGCCUACCUGGUUAAAUAAAGGUGUUCUCAACUGGCCUACCUGGUUAAAUAAAGGUGUUCUCAACUGGCCUCCCUGGUUAAAUAAAGGUGUUCUCAACUGGCCUCCCUGGUUAAAUAAAGGUGUUCUCAACUGGCCUACCUGGUUAAAUAAAGGUGUUCUCAACUGGCCUACCUGGUUAAAUAAAGGUGUUCUCAACUGGCCUCCCUGGUUAAAUAAAGGUGUUCUCAACUGGCCUCCCUGGUUAAAUAAAGGUGUUCUCAACUGGCCUACCUGGUUAAAUAAAGGUGUUCUCAACUGGCCUACCUGGUUAAAUAAAGGUGUUCUCAACUGGCCUACCUGGUUAAAUAAAGGUGUUCUCAACUGGCCUCCCUGGUUAAAUAAAGGUGUUCUCAACUGGCCUCCCUGGUUAAAUAAAGGUGUUCUCAACUGGCCUACCUGGUUAAAUAAAGGUGUUCUCAACUGGCCUACCUGGUUAAAUAAAGGUGUUCUCAACUAGCCUACCUGGUUAAAUAAAGGUGUUCUCAACUGGCCUCCCUGGUUAAAUAAAGGUGUUCUCAACUGGCCUCCCUGGUUAAAUAAAGGUGUUCUCAACUGGCCUCCCUGGUUAAAUAAAGGUGUUCUCAACUGGCCUACCUGGUUAAAUAAAGGUGUUCUCAACUGGCCUACCUGGUUAAAUAAAGGUGUUCUCAACUGGCCUCCCUGGUUAAAUAAAGGUGUUCUCAAC